CGCGGUAAUUCCAGCUCCAAUAGCGUAUAUUUAAGUUGUUGCAGUUAAAAAGCUCGUAGUUGGAUUUCGGGCGUGGAGGUUCGGUCCGCCGUUUCGGUGUGCACUGUUGUUCUGCGUCUUUCUGCCGGGGACGCGCUUCUGGCCUUAAUUGGCUGGGACGUGGAUUCGGCGUGGUUACUUUGAAAAAAUUAGAGUGUUCAAAGCAAGCUAAAGCUCUGAAUACAUUAGCAUGGAAUAACCCGAGAGGACUCGGUCCUUAUUUUGUUGGUCUUCAAGGAUGGAGUAAUGAUUAAGAGGGACGGUUGGGGGCAUUCGUAUUUCAUUGUCAGAGGUGAAAUUCUUGGAUUUAUGAAAGACGAACUACUGCGAAAGCUUCUGCCAAAGACGUUUUCAUUGAUCAAGAACGAAAGUUGGGGGCUCGAAGAUGAUCAGAUACCAUCCUAGUCUCAACCAUAAACGAUGCCGACUAGGGAUUGGCAGGUGUUACAUCGAUGACUCUGCCAGCACCUUAUGAGAAAUCAAAGUUUUUGGGUUCCGGGGGGAGUAUGGUCGCAAGGCUGAAACUUAAGGGAAUUGACGG
rnacentral:rRNA from 1 species